GACGAACGCUGGCGGCGUGCUUAACACAUGCAAGUCGAACGGAAAGGCCCUGCUUUUGUGGGGUGCUCGAGUGGCGAACGGGUGAGUAACACGUGAGUAACCUGCCCUUGACUUUGGGAUAACUUCAGGAAACUGGGGCUAAUACCGGAUAGGAGCUCCUGCUGCAUGGUGGGGGUUGGAAAGUUUCGGCUGUUGGGGAUGGACUCGCGGCUUAUCAGCUUGUUGGUGGGGUAGUGGCUUACCAAGGCUUUGACGGGUAGCCGGCCUGAGAGGGUGACCGGCCACAUUGGGACGGAGCUGCGGCCCAGACUCCUACGGGAGGCAGCAGUGGGGAAUAUUGCACAAUGGGCGGAAGCCUGAUGCAGCAACGCCGCGUGCGGGAUGACGGCCUUCGGGUUGUAAACCGCUUUCGCCUGUGACGAAGCGUGAGUGACGGUAAUGGGUAAAGAAGCACCGGCUAACUACGUG
rnacentral:rRNA from 1 species